rnacentral:rRNA from 1 species
GACGAACGCUGGCGGCGUGCUUAACACAUGCAAGUCGAACGUGAUUUUUGUGGAAAUUCUUUCGGGAAUGGAAAUGAAAUGAAAGUGGCGAACGGGUGAGUAACACGUGAGCAACCUACCUUACACAGGGGGAUAGCCGUUGGAAACGACGAUUAAUACCGCAUGAGACCACAGAAUCGCAUGAUAUAGGGGUCAAAGAUUUAUCGGUGUAAGAAGGGCUCGCGCCUGAUUAGCUAGUUGGAAGGGUAAAGGCCUACCAAGGCGACGAUCAGUAGCCGGUCUGAGAGGAUGAACGGCCACAUUGGAACUGAGACACGGUCCAAACUCCUACGGGAGGCAGCAGUGGGGAAUAUUGCACAAUGGGGGGAACCCUGAUGCAGCGACGCCGCGUGAGCGAAGAAGGUUUUCGAAUCGUAAAGCUCUGUCCUAUGAGAAGAUAAUGACGGUAUCAUAGGAGGAAGCCCCGGCUAAAUACGUG